AGAGUUUGAUCCUGGCUCAGGACGAACGCUGGCGGCGUGCCUAACACAUGCAAGUCGAGCGGAGACAGUGAGUAGCUUGCUAUGAGCUGUUUUAGCGGCGGACGGGUGAGUAACGCGUGAGCAACCUUUCCCAGACAGGGGAAUAACACACCGAAAGGUGUACUAAUACCGCAUAAGACCACGGGAUCACAUGGUUCUGAGGUAAAAGAUUUAUCGGUUUGGGGUGGGCUCGCGUCCGAUUAGGUAGUUGGUGAGGUAACGGCCCACCAAGCCGACGAUCGGUAGCCGACCUGAGAGGGUGAUCGGCCACAUUGGGACUGAGACACGGCCCAAACUCCUACGGGAGGCAGCAGUGGGGAAUAUUGCACAAUGGGGGAAACCCUGAUGCAGCGACGCCGCGUGAGUGAAGAAGUAUUUCGGUAUGUAAAGCUCUAUCAGCAGGGAAGAAAAUGACGGUACCUGACUAAGAAGCCCCGGCUAACUACGUGCCAGCAGCCGCGGUAAUACGUAGGGGGCAAGCGUUGUCCGGAAUAAUUGGGCGUAAAGGGCGCGUAGGCGGCUCGGUAAGUCUGGAGUGAAAGUCCUGCUUUUAAGGUGGGAAUUGCUUUGGAUACUGUCGGGCUUGAGUGCAGGAGAGGUUAGUGGAAUUCCCAGUGUAGCGGUGAAAUGCGUAGAGAUUGGGAGGAACACCAGUGGCGAAGGCGACUAACUGGACUGUAACUGACGCUGAGGCGCGAAAGUGUGGGGAGCAAACAGGAUUAGAUACCCUGGUAGUCCACACUGUAAACGAUGAAUGCUAGGUGUAGGGGGUAUCGACCCCUUCUGUGCCGCAGUCAACACAAUAAGCAUUCCGCCUGGGGAGUACGGCCGCAAGGUUGAAACUCAAAGGAAUUGACGGGGGCCCGCAC
rnacentral:rRNA from 1 species